UGGGUUUUGAUUUCUCAAUAGACGACCACAUUGAAAAGCAAUAAUAGUUUUGAUAAUAUGAAAUGGAUGCGAGAGGGCGAAAGGUGCGUGGGGUUGCGGGUUGCCACCAGAUGGUUAUGAGGGAAAACGAAGAGUGCUCAUAAUCAUCUUCUACUCCUCCUGCUCAAUUUCUCAUGAUGAGUUAAAUAUAUAAGUGGGGCUGGGGAGAAGGUAUCGUCGGGGGACGAGCCUCA
ensembl:ncRNA C15A7.6 ncRNA